CGACCAAUUUACGGCAGCAAUGGCUGACAUUUUCGUUUGCCUGCGCGCGUACGUACCGCAUCUAAUACAAUACUUCAAAUGCAACACAACCUGGAACUUUAAUUUCAAGAUCGGAAUAUGUCUCCACGAUUCUGACUUACAUGGAACACUCUCUCGAAUAAAUGUAAAAGCCGAUUUACGGAAUCACGGGAGAAAAAAAUCGCGUACAUUGGAGAGGAUAAUCGCCAUGGGGGGCAUGAUUAAAUCGAUACCGUACCAAUUUUUUGUCGUUAUGCAAAACUCACUUUUUACGCCCCCCCCCCCCUCUCUGUAUUCCUAAUGUAGAAAUACUAUAGAAUCUUAAAUGAAACAAUAUUGACAAAAACUCUCAUAAUGAGGAACGCACGUACGUCACAAGGAAUCAAGAUAUUUUUAAAAUCAUGCUAACACUAACACAGACAGCUAAGUUAAAACAAAAGAAAAGUGGCAGUGGUAGGCCUACUGCCAGUAGUACUACAGUGGAAUGAUCCAUUUCUACUGCCUGGAAUAUUUAUUUUAUUUGGGAAAGGAUAAUUCCAGAAGAUUGUGCGGCAGUUGUAGUGAAGAAUGUUUAAUUGAACAGGCUUUGAAAAAUGGAAACUACUUUCUCUACUUGCCUUUAAAACAGCAAUUGGUUGAAUUACUCAACGAUGCAAGAUUAUGAACAUUUAACAGGACGUGAUGUGCAGUCUUUGUAGCAGAUAAACAGUGCAGAUGAAAUUCUCUGCUCAAAACUUGACAAAAAUUUGAUAAAACAACAUAAUUUGUGUGGUAAUGAUAUAACAAUAACAUUCAUUACUGACAGUGACAGAGUUCCUCUAUUUAAGUCAUCUGGAUUUCACAUGAGAAAGAAACAAUGUCGAAAUAUGUGAAAUUUUCAAGAGGAGAGUGGAUCUUUUCGAACUUUUAGGCGUUAGGGCUCGACGUAGCGAGCAACGGGAUGACAAUUUCAGAACCAGUAGCAAAAUGGAUUCAGUCAAAGUAGCAGUAAGAAUUAGACCAUUGCUACAAAAAGAAAGACAAAAUUGAAGAAUUUGUAUGUGGAACGCACGACAAAAAAAAGUAUAUCAGAGGGGCGAAACUUCACCGCUGUAUACGUUUGACUGUGUGUAUGAUGACAAUGCAACCACAUAUGAAAUAAACGAUGAGAUUAGUUCACCCAUUGUGCAAGCUGCCAUGACCAGUUUCCACGGAACGGUAUUUGCAUAUGGACAAAGUGGUUCCGGUAAAACAUACUCAAUGUCAGGUGACAACAUGUCUCCAGGACUUAUUGCCUUAGCAAUAGAUGAAAUAUUUGAGUACAUUAAUGAAGCACCAAACAAACAAUUUUUACUAAGAAUCACAUAUAUGGAGAUCUACAACGAAAAAAUAUUUGAUCUUCUGUCUAGUGAGGACAAAGUAAUCAAGAUACAAGAAAAUACAAAAAAAUUACGAAGAGAAACUUGGUGUGGACCCAAAUUAAGGAGACAAAGUCAUUAGAUGUGUUUGGAUGAAGUUUGAAAAUAGUGUGAUGGUCAUUUGAGCAGAAUUUCUUGAAGAUAUUUGUCAAUAAAGAUUUGGGUUGAGGAAGAUGGCUGAGCACAAAAUGAAAAAAAAAGUACACUGUAAUAUUUAUAUACGCAGUUAUUCGCCUUGCUAAAACAGAGGGGAGUUAUAUAUUGUCCAAUCGACGUUGUCUAAUCCACCAACCAAAACGCAAGAUUCACAAGCAUGUUACAAUGCUGUGUCGAUACUGUUUUUAUCCCCCGUCUCGGAAGUGGUGUUUGGUAACUAUGUUUUUAGGACAAUUGUGAUACUUAAGUGAAUGGUGAACUUUGUGUCGUAAGGAGACGACUGUGAUUAACUUUAUAGUGAAUUUUAAAGUGAACCUUAAUUUCGUGAAAACCCAUGCUUUCUAACAUGGCGGAUCUCCAUAGACAUCAUGAACUCUGUGAACCGUGAACUCUGUGAACCAUGAACUCUGUGAACUGUGAAUUCCGUGACUUGUGAACUCUAAUUAUUGAAUUAGAACUGUCAACAAAGAAAGCUGUCAACUUGUUUAUGUUUAUACUGUAACUCCUGUUUCUUGUAUAUGUUUAUUUACAUAAAUAUUCAUUAAUAUUUCAAA